AGGACUGGAAUAUCUCCCCUAGUUAUUGGUUUUGAAUUUUCUUUCACCUUCUCUCUUGCAUUCUAGAAUCUCCAAUGAAAGCUACCUCUUUGUGACAAAUCUAUUACAAAUGGGUGUUUGUAAUGUGUAGAACAUCAGAUGUUCAAACAAGCUGUGCUUUUUCAUCUAUUACAUGUACUUGAUAGCACCAUCUACUCUGCUACCUAGAAGUUUCAGGGAACCUUUGAUGGCGUCUACCUGGGAGACUGCGCUUCGUCCUUGACACAGCUUCUGCUGCAGAGUCCUGACCUCCAGGUUCCAAAAUGAUCCUAAAGAUGCUGCCGUCUCCCAAACCAGAAUUCCAGUUGUUGGCAGGAUUCACCAUUGAGUUUAGAAAACUACAGGCUUACAGAUCCCCAUCAACCAACUUUAUCCUUGCCUAAUUUACCCAUCUCUGUAUGAUUGUACUUGAGUCAAGUCCAUUUAAGUGAAUAUAGUCAAUUCUAUCUAAAGGAAUACAGCCUGUUAGC